rnacentral:rRNA from 1 species
UACGUAGGCAGCGAGCGUUGUUCGGAAUUACUGGGCGUAAAGCGCACGUAGGCGGUUAUUCAAGUCAGAGGUGAAAGCCCGGGGCUCAACUCCGGAACUGCCUUUGAAACUAGAUAGCUUGAAUCCAGGAGAGGUGAGUGGAAUUCCGAGUGUAGAGGUGAAAUUCGUAGAUAUUCGGAAGAACACCAGUGGCGAAGGCGGCUCACUGGACUGGUAUUGACGCUGAGGUGCGAAAGCAUGGGGAGCAAACAGG